rnacentral:rRNA from 1 species
UACGAAGGGGGCGAGCGUUGUUCGGAGUUACUGGGCGUAAAGGGCGCGCAGGCGGUUAUCCAAGUCAGGUGUGAAAGCCCCGGGCUCAACCCGGGAAAUGCAUUUGGGACUGGAUGACUUGAGUACGGGAGAGGAUGAUGGAAUUCCCAGUGUAGAGGUGAAAUUCGCAGAGAUUGGGAAGAACACCCGUGGCGAAGGCGGCUCUCUGGGCCGGCCCUGACGCUGAGGCGCGAAAGCGUGGGGAGCGAACGGG